UCAUCCUAUCCUGGGGCUGUAUAAGGUCCCAAGGGUCCGGCUGUUCGCCGGUUAAAAGGGUACGCGAGCUGGGUUCAGAACGUCGUGAGACAGUAAAAUGACCGUUGCUGUCUUUAAAUUUGGCUAAUUGCUGGAAAAUCCCGUGUAUCUGAUGAUACUGAGAGUUAAUUUCAGUGACAAUUCUUCAGUGGGGACAAUCAGCAGGAAAGGCUGGUAGAUUUUACCAGAAUCUUCAGAGACUAUACGCCAGACUCUCCAAAUGGAGAAGAAGAUAUAGUCCGAACUGCAUAGCGAUAUGCAGAGACGAACAGAAAUGUUUCGUCCCUCUAAAAUAAUUUAUGGCUUUGGCUAUAUUGAGUCAAACCAUUGCUUUAUUAGCUUAGGGAGUAACAGAAUUGUCGGUCUCUAUCUGAUGUGGGCGUUAGGAUACUUGCAGAGGAGUUCUCUUCAGUACGAGAGGACCUAGAGAAACGGACCUCUGGUGUUCCGGUUGUCCUGCCAAGGGCAAAGGCCGGGUAGCUAUGUCCGGAAGGGAUAAGCGCUGAAAGCAUCUAAGUGCUAAGCCCCCCUCAAGAAUAAGUAUCCCUGUGCCGCAAGGCACUGUAGGCUGGUCGGAGACUACGACCUCGAUAGGCGCAAAGUGUAAGAUCCGUAAGGAUUUCAGCUAAUGCGUACUAAUAGCCAAUCGGCUUAGCCUU
rnacentral:rRNA from 1 species